rnacentral:rRNA from 1 species
AUUGAACGCUGGCGGCAUGCCUUACACAUGCAAGUCGAACGGCAGCGCGGGAGCAAUCCUGGCGGCGAGUGGCGAACGGGUGAGUAAUACAUCGGAACGUGCCCAAUCGUGGGGGAUAACGCAGCGAAAGCUGUGCUAAUACCGCAUACGAUCUACGGAUGAAAGCCGGGGAUCGCAAGACCUUGCGCGAAUGGAGCGGCCGAUGGCAGAUUAGGUAGUUGGUGAGGUAAAGGCUCACCAAGCCUUCGAUCUGUAGCUGGUCUGAGAGGACGACCAGCCAGAGUGGGACUGAGACACGGCACAGACCCCUACGGGAGGCACCAGGGGGGAAGUGGGGCCAAUGGGGUAAGAAUUGAUCUAGCCAUGACGCGUGCAGGAUGAAGGUCUUCGGAUUGAAAACUGCUUUUGUAAGGAAAGAAACGGUUUUUUCAAAUAAAGAAGGCUAAGGACGGUACCGAAAGAAAAAGCACCGGCUAACUACGUG